AUCAGAGUGAAAGUUCGCUAAGCUCCUCCCCUUCGCUUCCUGCGUUCAUGGCGUGCCGUGAACUUCAAAACAGAUCUUGUUCAGGACCCCAUGCUGGUGCAAACUGGAGUCCCUCCUGACCCCCUCAGAGUCCUCAAGGCAGGCCUGCAGCUGCCGAAAUCAUGCUGAAAGCGUGUGCAAUUGCUUUCGAUGGCGCUCGGUUUUCACUUUUGAAUUUCGCUCAUGUUCAGGGGAGUGGAGGAGGCACAGUAACUCAUUUGGAGGGGGCAUGGCCCAUGAAUGCCCACUUUGGCGCCGACCCUGAUUAUAACUUUAAUACAUGUAUAUUAUUAUGUCCCUUAAUGUAAUGUACUGAAUGCUAUGGACUUCAAUUGAUGUUCUCUUUUUUUUCAUCACAAAUCCUCAACUGAACUUUGAGACUGAUAAUGACUAUAAUUAUGCAAUAUAAUUUUCCAUAGUAGCUUUAGCAGUUUUCUCGGAGCUCGGGGUGCUGUUGCCAAUGGCAGAGAGAUGUGCUGUCUGACAGACAGGUCUGUGCCCCGGGGGUCAGGGCGUUUAACGCUGCACAGGAGAUUGAGUUGGUGGAGAGGUCAUGCUGGUUCACUCAUGCUGGUGCUGCUGUAGCAUCAAAGACAACAGCUAGGCAGGAGAAGCAGAUAAAACCACGGAAUAAAUGUGCUUAUUGCACCUUUGCACACCAGACUCUGCUUUAGCUCUGUCAUCAUUACAAGGUUAAUGUCAGCAGGGGACAUUUAGCCACUGCUUAAAAUGAUGUCAAAGUUCACUGUUCUUUUAA